rnacentral:rRNA from 1 species
ACGAACGCUGGCGGCGCGCCUAACACAUGCAAGUCGAACGGUCCAGCACUUUCGUAAGAAAGUGCUGGAUAGUGGCGGACGGGUGAGUAACACGUAGGUAACCUACCCUCGGGAUGGGGAUACCCCCGAGAAAUCGGGCUCAAUACCGAAUAAAAUUCCAAGGUGAGAGCCCUUGGGAGCAAAGCUACGAGUAAUCGUGGCGCCUGAGGAUGGGCCUUCGGUCCUAUCAGCUAGUUGGUGAGGUAACAGCUCACCAAGGCAGAGACGGGUAGCCGGACUGAGAGGUCGGCCGGCCACACUGGAACUGAGACACGGUCCAGACUCCUACGGGAGGCAGCAGUGAGGAAUCUUGCGCAAUGGGCGAAAGCCUGACGCAGCGACGCCGCGUGGGGGAAGAAGGCCUUCGGGUUGUAAACCCCUUUCGUGAGGGAAAAAGCCCCCAUUCUUGCUUUCGCAAGAAAGCAUGGGGGUGAUGGUACCUCAGGAAGAAGCCACGGCUAACUCUGUGCCAGCAGCCGCGGUAAGACAGAGGUGGCAAGCGUUGUUCGGAUUCACUGGGCUUAAAGCGCGUGUAGGCGUCCUGAUAAGUCAAGUGUGGAAUCCCUGGGCUCAACCCAGGAAUUGCACUUGAAACUGUCAUGAUUGAGUCAUGCAUGGGAGGGCGGAAUUCCCGGUGUAGCGGUGAAUGCGUAGAGAUCGGGAGGAAGGCCUGUGGCGAAGGCGGCCCUCUAGGCAAUGACUGACGCUGAUGCGCGAAAGCGUGGGGAGCAAACAGGAUUAGAUACCCUGGUAGUCACGCCCUAAACGGUGGGUACUAGGUGUGGGUGGCAGUAGCUAUCCGUGCCGAAGGGAAACCAUUAAGUACCCCGCCUGGGGAGUACGGCCGCAAGGUUGAAACUUAAAGGAAUUGACGGGGGCCCGCACAAGCGGUGGAGCAUGUGGUUUAAUUCGACGCUACGCGAAGAACCUUACCUGGGCUUGACAUGCUGGUGGUAAGAGCCCGAAAGGGGGAUGACCCCGACGAAAGUCGGGGAGCCAGUACAGGUGCUGCAUGGCUGUCGUCAGCUCGUGCCGUGAGGUGUUGGGUUAAGUCCCGCAACGAGCGCAACCCCUAUCCUCUGUUGCCCCGAGAAAUCGGGGGUCUCCGAGGAAACUGCCAGCGAAGAGCUGGAGGAAGGCGGGGAUGACGUCAAGUCCUCAUGGCCCUUAUGCCCAGGGCUACACACGUGCUACAAUGGCUGCUACAAAGGGAAGCUAACCCGCGAGGGAGAGCCAAUCCCAAAAAAGCGGUCUCAGUUGGGAUCGGAGUCUGCAACUCGACUCCGUGAACGCGGAAUCGCUAGUAAUCGUGGAUCAGCACGCCACGGUGAAUACGUUCCCGGGCCU